rnacentral:rRNA from 1 species
CACGUAGGGACCAAGCGUUGUCCGGAUUCAUUGGGCGUAAAGAGCUCGUAGGCGGCUCAGUAAGUCGGGUGUGAAACCUCCAGGCUCAACCUGGAGACGCCACCCGAUACUGCGGUGACUGGAGUCCGGUAGGGGAGUGUGGAAUUCCUGGUGUAGCGGUGAAAUGCGCAGAUAUCAGGAGGAACACCAACAGCGAAGGCAGCACUCUGGGCCGGUACUGACGCUGAGGAGCGAAAGCAUGGGGAGCGAACAGG